rnacentral:rRNA from 1 species
CGGGACGGGUGAGUAACGCGUGGAUAACCUGCCUCACACUGGGGGAUAACAGUUAGAAAUGGCUGCUAAUACCGCAUAAGCGCACAGUACCGCAUGGUACGGUGUGAAAAACCCAGGUGGUGUGAGAUGGAUCCGCGUCUGAUUAGCCAGUGGCGGGGUAACGGCCCACCAAAGCGACGAUCAGUAGCCGACCUGAGAGGGUGACCGGCCACAUUGGGACUGAGACACGGCCCAA